AGGUGAACUGAGGAAAGCAACGUUAUGUUGCAGCUCUGCGUGUCAAAGGGGAACUUGUGCACGUCCAUCAUGCACAUGCUCACGGCCCGUACGUCCUGAUCCUGGGUGACGAUCCCGUUGUGGUUGACGACGAAACUUACAUCUCUAAAAUGAAGAUGUCGGGUUUCCACAGCAUGUCGGACUGGAGAGGGCGGAUGACGUAGCGGUUAAGAGGAGAGGGCGCAGCGUGAAAGACGCACACGACAUUGACGUGAUCGUCCACUCACCAUCAUCACCCAGAGAAACGAAAUGAAGGUUUGGGUUUUCUCGAUCUGCGAGAACACGGGGAUGUGGAAAACGUCACCGGCAAAUUCUAUCAGAACGUGAACUGAACAAAGGCGACGACCUACCACGCCCAGGAUGCCGUACAGGAUGAUGUUGAGCUCCACCAGGGUGGGAUGCGUGUGGUCCAGGACGGGCCGGGUCAAUUGGAAGGCUCCGUUGCUUGAUGUCAGUUUGAGAUGGUCCACGACAUCCUGGUAGCUGCACACCUUGUCUGGGGAGGCGCCUCCCACACCUAGGGAGGCAGUUACUUAGUGAAGGAUUUACACAUUUUGAUAAAGGUUUUCACAAAUUGGCUCAAAAAUGUUUGAUACAGAUCUCACAUAUGACUUAAAAGCAUCAGAUUUUUGCCAGACAUGCAUUUGUACACGGGAAUCAAUUUUGCUCUUACCUGAGAGGAUGAGGACAAUGAGCGGCACUUUCAUCCUCACUGCGAUGUGAGCCUCGAUGGUCCAAGAGCUUUUUAAACCCGGAGAUGAGAAUCCCCUCCCACUGGCUUUUGGAAUGACAUUGGGCGCUAAAGAGGAAACACAUCCGCUGUUGGCGUGGCUUUCUGACGUGAUGGGGCCCGUUCUUGCUUUGAAGGCUGCACCGUGAGAAAUAAAAGCAGGUGGGGCAAAAUGGAGGUGGUUGAGAAGAAGCAGGUACACGUCACGCGGUUUUGAAGAGGAGCCUGCAGCACCGUGAGGGUAAAUAAUCAAAAAGUGGG